UAACAAGGAUUCCCUCAGUAACGGCGAGUGAAGCGGGAAGAGCUCAAAUUUAAAAUCUGGUUUGCUUGCAAGCCCGAGUUGUAGUCUGAAGAAACGUUUUCCAUAAGCACUGAGGCAAAAGUCCCUUGGAACAGGGCAUCAUAGAGGGUGAGAAUCCCGUCCAUGGUCUCAAGUUGUUUAUUUUGUGAUACGUUUUCAAAGAGUCAGGUUGUUUGGGAAUGCAGCCUAAAAUGGGUGGUAAAUUUCAUCUAAAGCUAAAUAUUGGCGAGAGACCGAUAGCGAACAAGUACCGUGAGGGAAAGAUGAAAAGAACUUUGAAAAGAGAGUUAAACAGUACGUGAAAUUGUUGAAAGGGAACCGUUUGAAGCCAGUCUUACUUGCCUGUGAUCAAUUUUUGCUUCGGCAUGAAUGCACUCUCGGGUAUGGUAGGCCAACGACAGUUUGGAAUGCGAGAAAAAAAUAGAGGAAAUGUGGCCUUCGGGUGUUAUAGUCCUUUGUAAAAUAUCGUGUUCUGGACUGAGGAUCGCAGCAAAAAUGUGGGCAGGUGGAUUUCUGUGGUAACUGUCGGUUAGGACAACUUGUUGACCUAGUCUUCCUUAGCCUCACUAUUUACCUUGCUUCUAAUUUGCUUAGGUCGUUGGCAUAAUGGCUUUAAAUGA
rnacentral:rRNA from 1 species